AAAAAAAAAAAAAAAAAAAAAAAAAAAAAAAAUGGCAGAAAUAGAAAUUGGAAUAACGGUACUGCGUGUGACAAAUAUUUUCGUUUUUAUUUUUUUUUAUAAUCUUUUAAUUUAUAAAAGAUGAGUAAUCCCACUGUGGAUCAAGUGGAUACCCUUCUGACAUUUCUAGAAGAGCACCAGGAGUUAGCUCGUGGCCGCUGUAGAAAUGCAGAAGGGCGAACAAGAUCCAACGAAUUAUGGGUUCGUCUCACAGACGAACUCAAUGCAUUGGGUGGAUGUACUAAAACUAUGAAGCAGUGGCCGAAGGUAUGGGCUGACAAAAAAUAUUUAACGAAAAAAAAAAAAAAAAAAAAAAAAAAAAAAAAAAAAAAAAGCUGCUGCUGCUGCUCGAAGGUCUGCCAGAGCCACUGGGGGUGGGCCAUCAUCUGCUGAGCCUUUAAACCCCAUACAAAAAAAAAAAAAAGAAUAUUGGCUGUUAUGGGAGAAGGAUUUGGGGAACCUCAGUCGGAUGCAUGUGUACCUGCAUUUCCAGAGGUGCCCUGCUCAGCAGAUGAAGCUCCAUCACAAAAUAUAGAGCAGCAACAGCAGCAAAAUCCCCAGCAACUGAUGCAACAUCACGGGUUCAUAUUUUCUAAUGCAUAAAUAUAAUUAAGACAAGUUGCCUUAGUUAUAUUUGUACAUUUUCAAAACAUUUCCGGCAUUUCAUAAUGUUGAUUGAAACUAUUUAGAAUGAUCAAAACUUCAACGACUGCUACACGUCCAGAGCGACGACGCCGUCGAGCAGACGCCAUUGGAUCUGAACGCAGUGUACGCAGGCGUCUGUUCGAAAUGGAGGAGCGGCGAAUCGCAGCGGAGGAUCGACGAGUGGCAGAGUUAGGGCUGAUUCGCGAAACACUCCAGGAACUGAAUGAAUUAAUAAGGGAUGGAUUGGAGGGAAUACUUAUGGAAUUAAGACAAAUGAAUAGAUAAUUUUUUUUUUUUUAAUUGUUAAUUGUUGUUGAUUUGAUUAAUGUUGAUUUGUUGAUUUAUGUUAGUUUGUUGAUUUGUUAAUAUAUAUAUAUGUCUUACCAGUUUAUCAGAUAGACACUAGUCAUUAAUUUAAUGCGCCUUGAACUAAGUUAUUUAGUUUGCAUAUACUUAUACAAUAUUUUUCUGUUUGGGUACAUUUCUUAUUUCUGAUGUGAUUCGGUUUGAAUGGAAGAAUAUGGCAAAGAAAUUACAGGGUAUGUAGACAACAUCAUAUUCCAAGAAUAGCAGGACCACUUUGUCAGAUGAACCAUCAGUUUAUUUGUCAUUCUAAGUAUCAUAAAAAAUAUGUAUAUUUGUAUAUUUUUAGUAGAGAUAAUCUAAUAAACAAUAGAUGCCUUUGAAGAUAUUUAUUAAACCUCUUUCAAUGAUAAUUUUUUAAACAUUUUAUGAUUUGUAUGUUAGUCCAUAUUUAGCUUACUAUACUAUAAAACGGAUUUUUUUUUUGAAACACUAACA